AUACGGAGGGGGCCAGCGUUGUUCGGAAUUACUGGGCGUAAAGGGCGCGUAGGCGGGACGUCAAGUCAGGGGUGAAAGGCCUGGGCUCAACCUGGGAACUGCCUUUGAAACUGACGUUCUUGAGUCCGGGAGAGGAUGGCGGAAUUCCCAGUGUAGAGGUGAAAUUCGUAGAUAUUGGGAAGAACACCGGUGGCGAAGGCGGCCAUCUGGACCGGCACUGACGCUGAGGCGCGAAAGCGUGGGGAGCAAACAGGAUUAGAUACCCCGGUAGUCC
rnacentral:rRNA from 1 species